rnacentral:rRNA from 1 species
AUUCCAGCUCCAAUAGCGUAUAUUAAAGUUGUUGCAGUUAAAAAGCUCGUAGUUGAAUUUCUGUACAGUCCCGGUUCUGGCUUCGGUCAAGCCGUGGAUUGUGCAUCCGCUUGCAAAUCUAGCUCGGCCUUCACUGGUCGGCUAGGGGAGUAAGCCCUUUACUUUGAAAAAAUUAGAGUGUUUCAGGCAGGCAAUGGCUCGAAUACAUUAGCAUGGAAUAAUGGAAUAGGACUUUUGUCCAUUUGGUUGGUUAUUGGACAUGAGUAAUGAUUAAAAGGGACAGUUGGGGGCAUUAGUAUUUAAUAGUCAGAGGUGAAAUUCUUGGAUUUAUUAAAGACUAACUUAUGCGAAAGCAUUUGCCAAGGAUGUUUUCAUCG